GGAAUACAGAGCAGGGAAAAGCUCCCGCUCAAC
rnacentral:SRP_RNA from 1 species